rnacentral:rRNA from 1 species
ACGUAGGUGGCGAGCGUUGUCCGGAAUUACUGGGUGUAAAGGGAGCGCAGGCGGGGAGACAAGUCAGCUGUGAAAACUAUCGGCUUAAAUGAUAGAGUGAAGUUGAAACUGUUUUUCUUGAGCGGAGGAGAUGCAGGCGAAAUUCCGAGUGUGGCGGUGAAAUGCGUUGAUAUUCGGAGGAAGACGAGUGGCGAAGGCGGCCUGCUGGGUUUUAACUGAGGCUGAGGCUCGAAAAUGUGGGGAACAAACAG